rnacentral:rRNA from 1 species
UACGUAGGGUGCAAGCGUUAAUCGGAAUUACUGGGCGUAAAGGGUGCGUAGGUGGUUAGAUAAGUUAGGUGUGAAAGCCCUGGGCUUAACCUGGGAGUUGCGCCUAAUACUGUUUAGCUAGAGUACUGUAGAGGAAGGUGGAAUUUCCGGUGUAGCGGUGAAAUGCGUAGAUAUCGGAAGGAACAUCAGUGGCGAAGGCGACUUUCUGGACAGAUACUGACACUGAGGCACGAAAGCAUGGGGAGCAAACAGG